rnacentral:rRNA from 1 species
GAUCCCGUAGCAAUGAAGCACAGAGAAGUAGAUGGUGGGGUCGUUAGGUCUUCGUAUUCGGGUUCGUGUGAAGUUCCCCGCCUGGGGAGUACGGUCGCAAGAUUAAAACUCAAAGGAAUUGACGGGGACCCGCACAAGCGGUGGAUGAUGUGGAUUAAUUCGAUGCAACGCGAAAAACCUUACCUACCCUUGACAUGUCUGGAAAGCCGAAGAGAUUUGGCCGUGCUCGCAAGAGAACCGGAACACAGGUGCUGCAUGGCUGUCGUCAGCUCGUGUCGUGAGAUGUUGGGUUAAGUCCCGCAACGAGCGCAACCCUUGUCAUUAGUUGCUACGCAAGAGCACUCUAAUGAGACUGCCGGUGACAAACCGGAGGAAGGUGGGGAUGACGUCAAGUCCUCAUGGCCCUUAUGGGUAGGGCUUCACACGUCAUACAAUGGUCGGGACAGAGGGUCGCCAACCCGCGAGGGGGAGCCAAUCUCAGAAACCCGAUCGUAGUCCGGAUCGCAGUCUGCAACUCGACUGCGUGAAGUCGGAAUCGCUAGUAAUCGCGGAUCAGAAUGUCGCGGUGAAUACGUUCCCGGGUCUUGUACACACCGCCCGUCACACCAUGGGAGUGGGUUUCACCAGAAGUAGGUAGCCUAACCGUAAGGAGGGCGCUUACCACGGUGGGAUUCAUGACUGGGGUGAAGUCGUAACAAGGGUAACCGGAGCGG